GGAGUACGACCGCAAGGUUGAAACUCAAAGGAAUUGACGGGGGCCCGCACAAGCGGUGGAGCAUGUGGUUUAAUUCGAAGCAACGCGAAGAACCUUACCAGGUCUUGACAUCCUUUGACACUCUAGAGAUAGAGCUUUCCCUUCGGGGACAAAGUGACAGGUGGUGCAUGGUUGUCGUCAGCUCGUGUCGUGAGAUGUUGGGUUAAGUCCCGCAACGAGCGCAACCCUUAUUGUUAGUUGCCAUCAUUAAGUUGAGCACUCUAGCGAGACUGCCGGUGACAAACCGGAGGAAGGUGGGGAUGACGUCAAAUCAUCAUGCCCCUUAUGACCUGGGCUACACACGUGCUACAAUGGACAGUACAAUGAGCAGCGACACGGCGACGUGAAGCGAAUCUCAUAAAGCUGUUCUCAGUUCGGAUUGUAGGCUGCAACUCGCCUACAUGAAGCCGGAAUCGCUAGUAAUCGCGGAUCAGCACGCCGCGGUGAAUACGUUCCCGGGCCUUGUACACACCGCCCGUCACACCACGAAAGUUUGUAACACCCGAAGUCGGUGAGGUAACCGCAAGGAGCCAACCGCCUAAGGUGGGAUAGAUGAUUGGGGUGAAGUCGUAACAAGGUAACCAAGGGCGAAUUCUG
rnacentral:rRNA from 1 species